rnacentral:rRNA from 1 species
UACGUAGGCAGCAAACGUUGUUCGGAAUUACUGGGCGUAAAGAGUGUGUAGGCGGUUCUGUAAGUUUGGUGUGAAAUCUCCCGGCUUAACUGGGAGGGUGCGCCGAAAACUGCAAGGCUUGAGUGCUGGAGAGGAUAGCGGAAUUCCUGGUGUAGCGGUGAAAUGCGUAGAUAUCAGAAGGAACAUCAGUGGCGAAAGCGGCUUCCUGGACCAGAACUGACGAUCAGGCUCGAAAGCGUGGGGAGCAAACAGG